GGAAUUGUUCAUUCUAUUUUAAGAAAUAUAUUAAUGCAAACCCUUCGCUUUUUGAUUUUAUAGAAUCGUUUAGUGCCCACUCACUGUAUCAAGGACAGAUCAAUGUAUAUGGUUUUCUAAUCAACAUAGGAUGUAAUCAAUAAUUUUUUGGAUUCAAGUGAAAAAGUUUCAAAGGACUACUGUAGAUGAUAGCUAUGGUGUACCCUUUAUUCACUGUUUGUCUAAUAUCAAAAUGCUAAAUGCUAACUUCUCAAUCUGGUUCAUUAAAAUAUUUUAACGCACUACUAUAAAAUCAU